CACCUUUUUUUUUUUUUUUUUUGGUCCCGAAUCCAUCAAGAAAACAAUCCGUUUUUUCCACUUAAAGACUUCCAUUUGGGAGGGAUCCUUUGGCCGUGAUGAUGGUGAUGGUGAUGGAAGGGUCGUAGAGGGGCGGAGGGGAUUGUUCACAACUUUGCCAGGACAUGGAGGGUGGGAGGACCUGAGAGGGAGGAACAAAAGUCGUUUUGUUUGGUGAUGCAGGGUUGACCGGGCAGCCACGGAAGCCCUCACCCAGGAAAGCAGAGAGUUGUUUGCUUGUUUACAGCGAAGGUGAGAGUCAAGUUAUCUAUUGAGAAUCCAACGGGGAGGGGGGAGUGUGUCUCUGGGCCUGAAAUCUAUUUGUGGACUUCAAAGAGGCAUGCUCGGAUCAAGUCCCAAAGCUUUGGCAUGAUGUUUAUUAGCCCAGUUAAAUGUAUUGCAAAUUAAUACCCACAGUGGCAUUUAUGAAUGAGAGGGGGAAAACAUCAACUUCCCUCAUCGCCUGGCAAAUUCCCAGGCAGAGGUCUUCCCCCCCUCCACCACCCCCCUCCUCGGUAUGUUGUACUUGUUUGUUUUUGGAGGUUCCCACUUUAGUUCCAGCCCACUGCCUGGGUUGGAAGUCCAAGAGGAAACUCUGGGAGUUCUCCGGGAGGCUGACUUAUACUUCCUUACGGAUGCGGGAGACCGGGUAAGCCCUCCCAGCCUCCCUCCGCGGGCAGCCGGGGAUGUGAACUAAGCAGUGAGCCAGAAGUCGAGGGGACCACCGUGGAGUGAUUUGGCUUGAAAUCAUCACCUACGAAUGCUGCCAGGCCCAAACAGAUUUCAGCAGUAUAGUUGUGCCCGGUAGAUCUCUGGAAAAGGUAGAAUCCUUACAGCUGAAAGUUUUGCGGGAUCUUUAAUUCCUCUCCUUGGGAACCUUCGGAAACCUUCCAUUUCAAAUGAAUUGCAAUGCCUAAGUACAGAAAAAUAAAGAAUUUAGGAUGUAACAUGCUUUAAUAAAAAUGUCAACAGAUUUUAAGAUCCUGUUCUACCAUGAACGCACAGUAAGGGACCCCUCACAAGACAAUUUAUAUGAACAUCACCAAUAUGUUAGUGUGGUUUAUUUUUCCUAAAAGUUUCAAAAAUUAUCUUCUUGUAUAAUUUAAAGAAAAGCAUUAUGUCUGGUUCCCCUUCGUAUAUGCUUUAGUAUGACCACUCUUCCUUUUUAAUAUUUAGGGCUGUUCAGUCUUCGCAUUUUUGCAGUCUUGGUUAGGGAGGCCUACAGUGCUGACUUUUCUGUGAAUUAUUCUGAUGAACCCAAUGAGGAGCUAUUGGGAUGAAAACACUCCAAUGAAGACAAUUGUUGCAGGAAAGAGUUAAGUUCAUUCAUUCAAAAGUGCUCUUUCAUAAACUGAAGAGGUAUUUGCUGGAGGGCUCUCUGAGGCUCUCUGGGGGUGGGGACUUUUCAAGACAAUGGCUUGUCAGGUGUUAUGCAAAUAAAGGGAGAAAAGUCUGGGCCUUACUCCUUAGGGCAAGCCAAUUCAUCAAUUAUUAGAAAACUUCCCCCCCACACACACUAGUGUUUCAUUGUUUCCUUCCUGGGAGGAGGGGAGGGGGUGUGUAGGCACAGUACUGGGUGGGAGGAGGUGAUGGAGAGAGAGAAUGGAGAGGAGGGUUCCUGGCUUCUGCUGUGGCGUCUUUUCUAUUUGACUUCAUGGUUGUAAGUAUUUCCAGAUGGUGAAUCAGACACCAGACGUAACAAUAUUUCCAUAUUUGGGUAUAGCAGUAGCCUGCGUUUUUAACAUUUUUCUGCCUCUGUUAUCCAACCACAAAGCAUUCUUGACAGCUUCAAAUGUUGUUAAAUAUAGACUUAACUUCUGUUCCCAGAGCAGGAAAUUCUUUGGAAUUCCUUGUUUUUCACGCAAUCUGCCGAUCAUGAUUUCAAAUAAAAUUAC
rnacentral:lncRNA from 1 species